AGGACUGUAACUCAGUGGCAGUGCAUCUGCUUUGCAUGCAGAAGGCCCCAGUUUCAAUCUUUGGCAACUCCA